GACGAACGCUGGCGGCGUGCCUAAUACAUGCAAGUCGAGCGAAUCUUGAGGUGCUUGCACCUCUUGGUUAGCGGCGGACGGGUGAGUAACACGUGGGCAACCUGCCUAUAAGACUGGGAUAACUUCGGGAAACCGGAGCUAAUACCGGAUAAUCCUUUUCCUCUCAUGAGGAAAAGCUGAAAGACGGUUUCGGCUGUCACUUAUAGAUGGGCCCGCGGCGCAUUAGCUAGUUGGUGAGGUAACGGCUCACCAAGGCGACGAUGCGUAGCCGACCUGAGAGGGUGAUCGGCCACACUGGGACUGAGACACGGCCCAGACUCCUACGGGAGGCAGCAGUAGGGAAUCUUCCGCAAUGGACGAAAGUCUGACGGAGCAACGCCGCGUGAACGAUGAAGGCCUUCGGGUCGUAAAGUUCUGUUGUUAGGGAAGAACAAGUAUCGGAGUAACUGCCGGUACCUUGACGGUACCUAACCAGAAAGCCACGGCUAACUACGUGCCAGCCGCCGCCGUAACAC
rnacentral:rRNA from 1 species